AUAUAAUCUGGUAGGAGUGACUCCAUCAUCAAAAGGAUGGAAUUUCCAUGGUGAGGCUCAUCCAUUGCAUUUGGUGUAGGCUGACUAGUUCAAUUUCCCCAAUUGUAGGAAAAUCAACUGCACAAUUUAUUGUAGUAGAGGACUGAUUUUGUUCUUUUCCCUU
ensembl:snRNA Gm23447 U1 spliceosomal RNA